rnacentral:lncRNA from 1 species
GUGUGUAUGUGUAUGUGCUGGUGUGUGUGUUGUGUGUGUGUGUGUGUGUGUGUGUGUGUUUAUCAUUUAUAUGAGAGUGACGCCAUCUGAUGGGUAGAAAACAAUGAGUGAUGAUAGUGUCCAAUAGUGUAUUACGUGCAUACUUAGUGUAACAAGUAACUGUAAUGGCAGGUAGGGAUUCCAGGAUUAUAGAUAUAAGUCAUUGAUUUAAGAGCGGUAAAUGAUUUUAAAUAUAAUCGUGAUGAGUGAUGAUGUGGGAUUUCGUUUUUAAGUAACGUUAGCAUUAUUCCUUUCUUCCUCUGCUCUAAUGAGUCAUGAGGGACGUGGGCACCGUCUAUUUCGUUCCCUACUGGAACCAUCUUGACGGUCACUGUGAAGUUCCGAAAUUGUGGGCACAGUCUCUGCUCAAGUGGUAUUGUUAGUGUUAGCCUAUUCUAUCGGGCCAAGACAAGUGUAGAGAGGAACUAAGUGGGAAGACAGUACAGUGGCAGGUAUGUAGGGGUAUUUUUAAGCGGGUUGUAGGGAGCAAGUUGACAGAUUAUGAUCUUUAAAAAUGCAGCAUUCUACUCCCUGACCUGAUCAUUUGCCCCGAGUAUUCUUUUCGAGUCAUAUUGAGCUUGCGGAGAUUCUGACACAGGAUCCUCGAACCCGAGUCGAGAGGGCACAAUUUAAAGUGUGUGUUCUUCUUAUAGCUUUUACAGUAGUUGGAAGUUGCUCUUCGGACUGUCCAUACCGGUUUAAUAAAACUGGGUUUGGAGAGCCCUGUUUCCGAGAGAAUGGGUACUGGCCCGGCCCACCUGCCUCGCCUGCCAGCAGUAGUAGCGCUUUCUGCCUGCCAGAGAAAUCGCGCGCGCCUUCUUCCCCCUCCUCCGAGCUUCUUUCAAGAGCUCGAUGGAAGAAGACUGAGAAGAGAAAGAGAUUUGUAGAGGGAGAGAAAAGAGAAGCGAGAGAGCGCGCGCGUUCGGCUGCUUGCUGGAUCUUCAACAACAAAGUCCAUCCGUUCUUUCGCAGACAGGCGCGGUUCGUGCGUUUCUCCGCUCCCUGCCUGGCCGCGAGUCUUCUCUCUCUCUCCCUUUCUCUCUCUCUCUCUCUCUCUCUCUCUCUCUCUCUCUCUCUCUCUCUCUCUCCUCCUCCCCCUCCUCCACCCCACAGCCUUCUUGUGCUGUUCCAUGCCCGCUGAGUAUCCCGGAGUCCCCGCUCACUCGCCUCUCAGUCAGUGUGCACACUUUGUGUUGUUCGGUGCUUUGAUGUUGUUCCCCUUUGGAGCCGCACACACCGCCUUAGCAGCUGCUGGAUCAUCGCUGCCUUUAUUCCUUGGAUUAAUCAACUCCAGUGAAAAGAUACGGGAAACAAACCUAGCACUGUGUGCCCUGCCAGGCUGUCACAUUCCUCCUGAACUCACGGUAUCGUACAGAUUUGUUUAUUCUACGCGUUGUAAAAUUGUCCAGAUCGCUGAACAUUUUUUUGUUUUCGCCUAGAUCUAGCUAGUUGUACGGUUGCGUGAGAGUAAAACGCGGCAACAUUUGUAAUUAUAGGAUCGAAGGUCUUCAGAUCUAACGCACGAAAGCUUCGUCGUAGCAUCAGGCAAUAAUAAAACAUAAUAAUAUCUUUUUCGAUUCAACAUCCAGCUUCGCUGACAAAAAACUCUGACUUUAGAAUCUCUAGAAGUUAGAACCUAGCGAAACAAACCUUCUUUUCCAGUCUUGUGGAAAGUCAGGCUGAGAGUCUCCGUAUCUCCAGCCAGUUCCGCCCCAGUUGUCGAGAGGUUCUGAGAGAACAGCUGCUGUUUGCUGUGUGUGCGCCACACGGCACCGCACGAUACAAAUCUGAGCCGGAUAGAAAAAAAAA